UACGGGGGGGGUAAGCGUUGUUCGGAAUUACUGGGCGUAAAGGGCUCGUAGGUGGCCAACUAAGUCAGACGUGAAAUCCCUCGGCUUAACCGGGGAACUGCAUCUGAUACUGGAUGGCUUGAGUUUGGGAGAGGGAUGCGGAAUUCCAGGUGUAGCGGUGAAAUGCGUAGAUAUCUGGAGGAACACCGGUGGCGAAGGCGGCAUCCUGGACCAACACUGACACUGAGGAGCGAAAGCCAGGGGAGCAAACGGG
rnacentral:rRNA from 1 species